AAACAAUAUGGCGUCCUCACAUGACAGUGUGAUUUGGGAUCCCUUCUCUUGUCUAAUGUCUUUUUUUGGAUCCUUUCGUUACUCGAAUACUGAACAAUCUGGUGAUAAUUGAUCAGGGGAAAUGGCCACUGAACCUCGGACAGAACUAAACAUUACUGAUGAUCCAUUGGAACAAGAUAAUGCGCUCUCAGUGCAAAUCUUCACUGAGUUAAAUGGCAUUCCCCUUGAUGUGUCAAAAUCACAACCAACAAAUACAAGAGGGCAUUCAGUUGCUUCCCAGGCUACCGAUGAUGAUGAUAAGCCCAUGACAUUGGUAACGUCAGAGGCUGUUUAUCCAUCUCAGCGUACCAAAUCAGUUUUCAAGCAGCAAUCUGUAACUGAUUUUCAAGAACAUCAUGAGUAUAAAAAAAAACGCGAUCAGGAACUGGCUCCUUCUAAUCAGGCCAAGGUAUUUUCUGAAUCUGUCAAUCCUGACAAUUCAACAUGCGCUCAGCUUGGCAAACAUGGUCAAUGUAAACAACAUGUUGAAGAGACAGUACCGAGUCAAGACUCUAUGCAGGGAUUAGCCACAUCUUUGUCUAAGAAAGAACAAAUCAGUUCACAGCGUAAGAAGGGCAUAAAAAGGGCAGACUUCAAAUGUUUUCAGACAAGGAAAGAGUCAUUCCGCACGAACAACUGGCCAGCAGACAAACCUCUACCUGAUGAUAUGGCUGCUGCAGGAUUCUUUUUUUUAGGACCCCAGACAGUUGGAGAGCAAUUAUACGUUGACAUGGUAUGGUGUUACAAGUGUGGCAAGAGCGUCUUCGGAUGGGAGAAGACAGACAACCCUGUCAAAGAACACGAGAAGCACAAUAAGAAUUGUAAAUAAGCACCAGAAAGAUGAGCAGAGAGCUCCGAUGCCAGCUAGUGGACAGAUGGCAGCUAGUUGACAGAUGGCAGAGGAUCAUUGAUGAAACUUACUGAGCAUUCAGGUGCCGAGGUCCCUGCGAUCAGUUGUACAUUAUCAAUAGACCGACCCCUUGGCCUCUCUAUAGUGGUUGUGAUCAAGAAGAGCGAAGCCCGACCAUUGAACCUCUAAAUAUUUGAGCAUUUGAUAUUUAAAUAUUUAAUGCAGUUUAAAGCAGCUUUGAGUAAGCCUUCAUUAUAUUUGCUGUCCUCUAUAAAAUUGAGUCCCAGUGAGUUGUUCAUGCUAACAUUAAAAAUCAAAAUUAAAGAGAGAGAUAGACAUAAAAAACUUGUGACUAUGUGUGAAAUUAAAUCAAAGAAUUUUAUUUUUUUAAUUAUGUAAAAAUAGCUAUGAUAAUCUGCUUAUGGGGCAUGAAACCUCGCUGAAAUGAGAACAUAACUUUCUGCUCAACAGGACUCAUUUUUGCUGAGAACGUCACAUGAUGUAAGAGAUGGCUCCACAGGUUAACAACAAGAUAGUUAAGUUCUACACUGACACUUAGUUUCUUAAAGAUUUUGUAUACACCCAUUAGUUAAAGGGACGUAUCAUGGUUUUACCUGUGGCGUAUGGAUGGGCAAGGUCCAUUAUGUUCUCCGACCAAUUACCUUCGAAACAAUAAACACCAAAUUUGGUCAGAAUGUGUAUGGGCAUAAUAUCUCCGACAAGUUUGAUAACCAGUCAUAUCACUUGAGUUACUCCAGAGUUGCCGCCCUUUUAAUAUAGAUUAUCAAUCACAAAAUCUGAGAAAUGAUAUACAGUCGAAACUCGAUGGCCCGAUAUUCUAGGGACCGGCCAAAUACUUCCAGCCUCGAGAAUAUCGAGCCAAGCGGGAAUGCUUACAGAAUGUUUUUAUUAUUCGGUACAAAAAGUCUUGUUUAUCUCGUUUGUUAUUGGUUACGCUAUCUCCGCAAGAGAAGAGUAUUAAAUGGACAUAGUUACACAUCCUUAAAGUCGUAACAUGACUUAUUCGAUACUUAUUUUUCUUAAAGUGAUGGCAUGUUUAUUCAAACUGUCAAACCAUUUAAAUUUGAUAAUGAUUAUAAUAAAUUCAAUUAAUUUUUAUCGAGUAGCGCCUUGUGCUUAAUGAAGCCAAGCAAACAAAUCAAGGUGUGAGAUCCUUACCUGUACCCACGAAAAUGACAUCGACCCAAGCAAACAAAAAGUGUGAAAUUCUUACUUGGGACUGCGAAAAUGACUUCCCAUUAUAUAUGAACAAAGAGUAAAACAAAAUUGUUCCUUUUAAUAUGGUUCGAGCCAACGAGAAUAUCGAGCCAUGAAAUAUCGAGCCAAUGAGUUUCGACUGAACUAAGAAUUUUUAGUGCUAGCAUUUCCUUAAGCAUAGUUUUUUUACAAGAUUGGAUUUAUUGUUUUAUUCAUGAUAAAAUGCUUGUAAAUGGUAUAUAAAUAUUUGUGAUUUGAUCACGUGUUUGAUUUUUAAAACAUAAUUAUACACACAAUUGUACAUUUAAAAUAAAUUUUAUUGUUUUAAUGGGCUCUAUGAUCACUUUUUUAAUUAGCACCAAAUGUAUUAAUGUUAUUGAAUUUAGGCCACAUGGAAUUAAUAUUAUGUUUGACUCUAUCUGACUGACUCACAAGAAUACCCUGUUUUUUUAACCUCUCGCUUGUUCAUUUAAAUUUUUUGUUUUCAUUACGAAAUAAAGAACUAAGAAGAAAAACACUCACAAAUACUAUCUACAUGUACCCAAACAGGCUGGGUGAAUCCAAACUAAUUUUUUUUAAAAAAUGUUAUUGCAUGGCUUUUGUUUUAAAUGUCAAUAGCUUUAUGAUAAUCAAAAUAAACUAAUUUUAGAUUUUAGCUCAACCCCCCCCCCCCCCCCCCCCCCCCAUCAUUACUUAUAUUUAGUAAAACAAAUGGAAUAAAGAUGAUUUUUUGUAAUUUAAUAAAAGUGCUUCUCUGAGCCGGAGUCUAAAAUUGGCCUUGAGACUUCAUAAUUAUGGCCCAAGACUUUUGGUAAGGUAAAAUUCGGGCAUAUCCAGGAAAUAUGGGGGUCAUUUGAGAACAGCAGUAGGCUUAGGGGUAUAUGUAAAAGUUCUAUUUUAAUAUGAUUUUCAAAAAAAAAACUGGUGUUUUUAUAAAUGACCCUUAAUUAGUUGUGUUGUGUGAAUAUAUCUGUAAAUAUGUUAUGCAUACAAUGUUGUACAGUUAGUAUUAUUUUUUGUUAUGUUUUAUUUACUCUUGUUUGACUUUAUUCUUCUGUUGAUGAUAGGUAUUUUAGAUAUGCAUGUUAGCUAUUAGUUGGCUUUUGUAUUUUUUUCUAAAUUUGCUAAUGUUUGGUGUUUUUGAUAUGACAAUAUAGUUUUGCAAGGAUUUCUAUUUUAUACUAUAAUUAUUUCAUUUUUGUUUUCUGUGAUAUAUAUAUUCUCUAUCAUAAAGAUUCUUAAAAAAAUG